UACGUAGGGUGCAAGCGUUGCCCGGAUUUAUUGGGCGUAAAGGGCUCGUAGGCGGUUUGUCGCGUCGGGAGUGAAAACCAGGUGCUUAACACCUGGCUUGCUUUCGAUACGGGCAGACUAGAGGUAUGCAGGGGAGAACGGAAUUCCUGGUGUAGCGGUGAAAUGCGCAGAUAUCAGGAGGAACACCGGUGGCGAAGGCGGUUCUCUGGGCAUGACCUGACGCUGAGGAGCGAAAGUGUGGGGAGCGAACAGG
rnacentral:rRNA from 1 species